rnacentral:rRNA from 1 species
ACUAUUAAUUCUAUGAAUUCAUUAUAUGUAAACUAUUAAAUCCAAAACUAACAGUAAUUAAAAUUGUAAAUUAAAAUUAUUAAAACAGAAAUUCAUAUAACAAUUGAAUAAAAUCUGUGCCAGCAUUCGCGGUUAAACAGUUAAUAAAAUUUAAUAACUUUGGUAAACAACUAGAUUCCUAACAAAUAAAGUUUAAGUGAAAUUUUACAUUAUAAAAAUAAUCAUAUGAAAAAUAUGUGAUAUAUGAAAAAAAAACUAGGAUUAGAUACCCUACUAUUUCAUAUUUAAAAACAAAUACCGAAAAGUAUUAGAUAAAUACUUUAAAACUCAAAGAAUUUGGCGGUAAUUUAUCUAAUUAGAGGAACCUGUAAAAUAAUUGAUAAACCACAAUAAACCAUACCCUAAUUCUAUAAUUUGUAUAUCUCUAUAAAGGAUGUUUUAAAAGAAAAUUUCCGUUUUUUUAAAAAAACUAUUUUAGGUCAAGGUGCAGUUUUAUUAGGGGUCUUCAUGGGUUACUUUAAAAAUUUAAAAAAUUAGAAAUCUAAUAAAAAAUUAGAAAAAAAAAGGAUUUAAAAGUAAUUUUAGUUAAUUAACCAAAAUGAAAAAGAAAUAAAUUAUGUACAUAUUGCCCGUCACUCUCAAUAAAAUGAGACAAGUCGUAACAAAGUAGCUUUACUGGAAAGUAAAGCUAGAAAGCUUGUAACC